rnacentral:rRNA from 1 species
GAUGAACGCUGGCGGCGUGCCUAAUACAUGCAAGUCGAGCGAACGGACGAGAAGCUUGCUUUUCUGAUGUUAGCGGCGGACGGGUGAGUAACACGUGGAUAACCUACCUAUAAGACUGGGAUAACUUCGGGAAACCGGAGCUAAUACCGGAUAAUAUUUUGAACCGCAUGGUUCAAAAGUGAAAGACGGUCUUGCUGUCACUUAUAGAUGGAUCCGCGCUGCAUUAGCUAGUUGGUAAGGUAACGGCUUACCAAGGCAACGAUGCAUAGCCGACCUGAGAGGGUGAUCGGCCACACUGGAACUGAGACACGGUCCAGACUCCUACGGGAGGCAGCAGCAGGGAAUCUUCCGCAAUGGGCGAAAGCCUGACGGAGCAACGCCGCGUGAGUGAUGAAGGUCUUCGGAUCGUAAAACUCUGUUAUUAGGGAAGAACAUAUGUGUAAGUAACUGUGCACAUCUUGACGGUACCUAAUCAGAAAGCCACGGCUAACUACGUG